UUUUAGUUCUACGAUUUCGUCGACUGCCUUACCGCUGCCAGAGCUGAGUUAGACAUUAACGGAGGCGGUUGGUGAACACGAGAGCUAGUGAAAAGAAGAGUUCGUUUGAUUUGUUUCAGCCCCAGGACCGAGGCGUUCAGGUGGCGUGACUGGCGUGCCCUGUCUGCAAUCCUCCCUUUCAGUAAGGGGCAGUAAGGACAAGAUCCACCCACCACCCAGUGCAUGCUACAUAUGUGUGUGUAAUAAAUUGAGAGGGAAAGUGUGUGUGAUAAAUGAAAUUUAAUAAAGUAAGUAAAAUUUUGAA